CUGCCCACUGAAUUUUUAAAGGGCCGCAGUAUUUUGACUGUGCAAAGGUAGCAUAAUCAUUAGUUUUUUAAUUGAAAGCUAGAAUGAAUGGUUUGAUGAAAAAGUUUCUGUUUCAGCUUUAAUAUUUAGAAUUUUAUUUUUAAGUUAAAAAGCUUAAAUUUAUUUUAAAGACGAGAAGACCCUAUAGAGUUUAACUUAAAUUAAAUUUGUAAAUUUUAGAAUUUUAAUUUUAUAAUUUUAGUAGAGUUUUGUUGGGGUGACAGAAAAAUUAAUUUAACUUUUUUUUUAGAAAAACAAAAAUUUUUGAUUAAUUGAUCCAUAAAGUAUGAUUAUAAGAUUAAAUUACCUUAGGGAUAACAGCGUAAUUUUUUUUGAAAGUUCUUAUUGAAAAAAUAGAUUGCGACCUCGAUGUUGGAUUAAAAUUAAUGUUUGGUGAAGAAGCUAAAUUGUUAGGUCUGUUCGACCUUUAAAAUUUUACAUGAUCUGAGUUUAAACCGGUGUAAGCCAGGUUGGUUUCUAUCUUAAAGAGAGGAUAGAAUUUUAGUACGAAAGGACCAAGUUCUAUGUUAAUAACAUAAAUUAAAGAAUUUUAUUUUGGCAGAUUAGUGCUAAGGAUUUAGAAUCUUUAUAUGUAUUUUAUACAAAUAAAAAUUGAUUUUACAUUAAUUUUGUUGAAUUUUUUAAUUAUAACUUUAGGGGUUUUAGUAGGAGUGGCUUUU
rnacentral:rRNA from 1 species